rnacentral:rRNA from 1 species
AAAGGAAUAGACGGGGCCCCGCACAAGCGGUGGAGCAUGUGGCUUAAUUCGAUGCAACGCGAAGAACCUUACCAAGGCUUGACAUGCAGUGGACCGGCGCUGAAAGGCGUCUUCCCUUCGGGGCCGCUGCACAGGUGCUGCAUGGCUGUCGUCAGCUCGUGUCGUGAGAUGUUCGGUUAAGUCCGGCAACGAGCGCAACCCCUGUCCUUAGUUGCCAUCAUUUAGUUGGGGACUCUAAGGAGACUAACUCUUUUUAAGAGUGGGAAGGUGGGGAUGACGUCAAGUCAGUAUGGCCCUUACGUCUUGGGCUGCACACGUGCUACAAUGCCCGGUACAAUGGGUUCCGAAACCGCGAGGUGGAGGCAAUCCCCAAAGCCGGGCCUAGUUCGGAUUGGAGUCUGCAACUCGACUCCAUGAAGCUGGAAUCGCUAGUAAUGACGCAUCAGCAACGGCGUCGUGAAUACGUUCCCGGGGCUUGUACACACCGCCCGU